rnacentral:tRNA from 1 species
GAGGGUGGAGCUCAGUGGUGGAGUGCUUGCCUAGCAUGCACGAGGUCCUGGGUUCAAGCCCCAGCACUGCCA